GCCCUGUAGACGCUCGAGCGUUUUUCCACUCGGAAAAAAUGAAAUGAGGGGAAACGAGUCUUUCUCCGCGGUUCCUCUUUUCGUUACAAAGACUGUAUUCCUAUAUAAGGCGGCAUUUUCAAAACCUUAUCAUUCAGUCUGAGAUCAGCAGUUAGUCAGUGCAGACGACAACUACAUUAUGGCGAAAUUUAAUAUCAUCUUCAUUCUGAUGAUCGUAACGGCUAUUCUGAUGGGUACCUUUACUCCAGCUUAUGCUAAGAGGAAGUGGACUUGCGAAAAGGAUGGGAACAAGGCCUGUGCCAGGGGUUGCGGACUCAAGAAUGGAUGGCUUCGCGGUGGACGUUGUGUUGGCAAUAAGUGCAAGUGUAACUAACCGUGAAUCUUGCAGAUCUGUUCGAAAUAAAUCUAACUCAUGUAAUUUUUAUGUUCAUGUCUGAACAUACCUGACGAUAAAUUCUAUGGAGACUGAAUAAAAUUCAAUUUAUUUUGAAAGAAAAUCUGAGAGAGGAUGAAUCAUCUAGUAUUCGGACAAGAUUCGCUGAGCUGAUCUGCAGAAUAUUGCUCAAGGUUUUAUUCAAUUCGUGAGCAUUAUCUAAUUUAUUGCAGGAGAUAAGAAUCCGGUUUAAAAUUCGUUGAAUGACAAAACGGAAAUCGGUUCGAAUACUGGAUAUUGCGUCUAAACAAGCUUUGAGAGACAGUACAUUUCGUCAUUAGCCCGAAAAAAAAAUUUCUGGUGAAUAUGAGUUUGCAGCCCGAGCCGAAGGCGAGGGUUGCAAUCACAUGAGCUAGAAAAGCUUUUUUAAGCCGCGGGACAAGCAAUAUUUUUCAGUCUUAUGAUGAAAUCCACUAUUAGCACCCUUUCUUUUGAAUACUAAAAUGCAUCGUAGUAUAUAAUAAAAUGCAUGCAUAGUUAUUAUAUAGCAGACUUGUUACUAUUGUAUUAUUGAAACGUAUUAAAUUAUUUAUCCCA